AAAAUUAGAGUGUUCAAAGCAGGCAGAUCCAAUUUUCUGCCACCGAAUACAUUAGCAUGGGAUAAUGGAAUAGGACCCUGUCCUCCUAUUUUCAGUUGGUUUUGGCAGCGCGAGGACUAGGGUAAUGAUUAAUAGGGAUAGUUGGGGGCAUUAAUAUUUAAUUGUCAGAGGUGAAAUUCUUGGAUUUAUGAAAGAUUAACUUCUGCGAAAGCAUCUGCCAAGGAUGUUUUCAUUAAUCAAGAACGAAAGUUAGGGGAUCGAAGACGAUCAGAUACCGUCGUAGUCUUAACCAUAAACGAUGCCGACCAGCGAUUAGGAGACGUUGAAUACAAAACACCACCAUCGGUUGCGCGGUCGUCCUUGGCGUCUCGGUUUCGGCCGGCGCGCGGGGAUGGCUUAGCCCGGUGGCACCGGUGAA
rnacentral:rRNA from 1 species